AGCGAACGCUGGCGGCAGGCUUAACACAUGCAAGUCGAGCGGGCAUCUUCGGAUGUCAGCGGCAGACGGGUGAGUAACACGUGGGAACGUACCCUUCGGUUCGGAACAACUCUGGGAAACUGGAGCUAAUACCGGAUACGCCCUUAUGGGGAAAGGUUUACUGCCGAAGGAUCGGCCCGCGUCUGAUUAGCUGGUUGGUGGGGUAACGGCCUACCAAGGCGACGAUCAGUAGCUGGUCUGAGAGGAUGAUCAGCCACACUGGGACUGAGAUACGGCCCAGACUCCUACGGGAGGCAGCAGUGGGGAAUAUUGGACAAUGGGCGCAAGCCUGAUCCAGCCAGGCCGGGUGAGUGAUGAAGGCCUUAGGGUUGUAAAGCUCUUUUGUCCGGGACGAUAAUGACGGUACCGGAAGAAUAAGCCCCGGCUAACUUCGUG
rnacentral:rRNA from 1 species